rnacentral:rRNA from 1 species
GUGGGGAAUAUUGGACAAUGGGGGGAACCCUGAUCCAGCCAUGCCGCGUGUGUGAAGAAGGCCUUUUGGUUGUAAAGCACUUUAAGCGAGGAGGAGGCUACCGAGAUUAAUACUCUUGGAUAGUGGACGUUACUCGCAGAAUAAGCACCGGCUAACUCUGUGCCAGCAGCCGCGGUAAUACAGAGGGUGCGAGCGUUAAUCGGAUUUACUGGGCGUAAAGCGUGCGUAGGCGGCUUUUUAAGUCGGAUGUGAAAUCCCCGAGCUUAACUUGGGAAUUGCAUUCGAUACGGGGAAGCUAGAGUAUGGGAGAGGAUGGUAGAAUUCCAGGUGUAGCGGUGAAAUGCGUAGAGAUCUGGAGGAAUACCGAUGGCGAAGGCAGCCAUCUGGCCUAAUACUGACACUGAGGUGCGAAAGCAUGGGGAGCAAACAGGAUUAGAAACCCGGGUAGUCC